CUCCGCUUCAGUUUCUGCCUCUGCUCCGUUUCUGACAUGCUCUCUUAAAUCCAAAAAGGGGCAUGCCUCUCGGAAGCCUAAUUUCUCACUCUGCUCCGUUUCUGACAUGCUCUCUUCCAAAAAGGGGCAUGCCUCUCGAAGCUUACCUUUUAAUUUACCUUCUCGCAGUUCUGAAUCCUCUUCAGCACACUGAAGGGUCCCCUCGGCACCGGCGAUGUUGGU